CAGUAGCCACGGUAAUGCGUAGGGUGCGAGCGUUAAUCGGAAUUACUGGGCGUAAAGCGUGCGCAGGCGGUUUUGUAAGACAGGCGUGAAAUCCCCGGGCUCAACCUGGGAAUGGCGCUUGUGACUGCAAAGCUAGAGUGCGGCAGAGGGGGAUGGAAUUCCGCGUGUAGCAGUGAAAUGCGUAGAUAUGCGGAGGAACACCGAUGGCGAAGGCAAUCCCCUGGGCCUGCACUGACGCUCAUGCACGAAAGCGUGGGGAGCAAACAGGAUUAGAUACCCGAGUAGUCCCUGUCUCUUAUAC
rnacentral:rRNA from 1 species